UACGAGGGGUGCAAGCGUUGCUCGGAAUUAUUGGGCGUAAAGGGUAGGUAGGUGGUCUUAUUUGUCUGGGGUGAAUGCCUUGGGCUCAACCUGAGAAGUGCCCCAGAAACGGUAAGACUAGAGUCCUGGAGAGGGUCGUGGAAUUCCCGGUGUAGCGGUGAAAUGCGUAGAGAUCGGGAGGAACACCAGAGGCGAAAGCGGCGACCUGGACAGGCACUGACACUCAACUACGAAAGCGUGGGGAG
rnacentral:rRNA from 1 species